UACGAAGGAUGCAAGCGUUAUCCGGAUUUAUUGGGUUAAAGGGAGCGUAGGCGGUCUUAUAAGUCAGUGGUGAAAUCUUGUCGCUUAACGACAAACGUGCCAUUGAUACUGUAGGACUUGAGUACAGAUGCCGUUGGCGGAAUGUGUCAUGUAGCGGUGAAAUGCAUAGAUAUGACACAGAACACCGAUUGCGAAGGCAGCUGACGAAACUGUAACUGACGCU
rnacentral:rRNA from 1 species